rnacentral:rRNA from 1 species
GACGGGGGGGGGCAAGUGUUCUUCGGAAUCACUGGGCUUAAAGGGCGCGUAGGCGGGCAGUCAAGUCUGUGGUGAAAUCCUCCGGCUCAACCGGAGAAUAGCUGGAGAUACUGACUGUCUCGAGGGGGGUAGGGGCAUGUGGAACUUCCGGUGGAGCGGUGAAAUGCGUAGAUAUCGGAAGGACGCCGGUGGCGAAAGCGACGUGCUGGACCCUUUCUGACGCUGAGGCGCGAAAGCCAGGGGAGCAAACGGGG